rnacentral:rRNA from 1 species
UACGGAGGAUGCGAGCGUUAUCCGGAUUUAUUGGGUUUAAAGGGUGCGUAGGCGGGAUGCCAAGUCAGCGGUAAAAAUGCGGUGCUCAACGCCGUCGAGCCGUUGAAACUGGCGUUCUUGAGUGGGCGAGAAGUAUGCGGAAUGCGUGGUGUAGCGGUGAAAUGCAUAGAUAUCACGCAGAACCCCGAUUGCGCAGGCAGCCUUCCGGCGCCCUACUGACGCUGAGGCACGAAAGUGCGGGGAUCGAACAGG